CCCUUAGAUGUCCGGGGCCGCACGCGCGCUACACUGAAGGAAUCAGCGUGGCUUUCUCCCUGACCCGAAAGGGUUGGGAAACCCGUUGAAUCUCCUUCGUGAUAGGGAUUGGGGCUUGAAAUUGUUCCCCAUGAACGAGGAAUUCCCAGUAAGCGCAAGUCAUCAGCUUGCGUCGAUUACGUCCCUGCCCUUUGUACACACCGCCCGUCGCUCCUACCGAUUGGGUGUGCUGGUGAAAUGUUCGGAUCGGCCGUUUGUCGCGGUUUCCGCGUCAUGUGGCUGAGAAGUUCAUUAAACCCUCCCACCUAGAGGAAGGAGAAGUCGUAACA
rnacentral:rRNA from 1 species